rnacentral:rRNA from 1 species
AUUGAACGCUGGCGGCGUGCCUAACACAUGCAAGUCGAGCGGUAACAGGUGUAGCAAUACAUGCUGACGAGCGGCGGACGGGUGAGUAACGCUUGGGAAUCUGCCUAUUAGUGGGGGACAACCCGGGGAAACUCGGGCUAAUACCGCAUACGCACUACGGUGGAAAGCCGGGGACCGCAAGGCCUGGCGCUAACAGAUGAGCCCAAGUCGGAUUAGCUAGUUGGUAGGGAACGGCCUACCAAGGCGACGAUCCGUAACUGGUCUGAGAGGACGACCAGUCACACCGGAACUGAGACACGGUCCGGACUCCUACGGGAGGCAGCAGUGGGGAAUAUUGGACAAUGGGCGAAAGCCUGAUCCAGCGACGCUGCGUGGGUGAAGAAGGCCUGCGGGUUGUAAAGCCCUUUCAGUGGGGAAGAAAAGCCUCGAGCUAACACCUCGGGUCUUGACGUAACCCAUAGAAGAAGCACCGGCUAACUCUGUGCCAGCAG